UACGAAGGGUGCAAGCGUUACUCGGAAUUACUGGGCGUAAAGCGUGCGUAGGUGGUUUGUUAAGUCUGAUGUGAAAGCCCUGGGCUCAACCUGGGAAUGGCAUUGGAUACUGGCGAGCUAGAGUGCGGUAGAGGGUAGUGGAAUUCCCGGUGUAGCAGUGAAAUGCGUAGAGAUCGGGAGGAACAUCUGUGGCGAAGGCGACUACCUGGACCAGCACUGACACUGAGGCACGAAAGCGUGGGGAGCAAACAGG
rnacentral:rRNA from 2 species